rnacentral:rRNA from 1 species
AUGAUAGGACGCGGGAACGCAGCAACGCCGCCGGGAUCGCACCACGGCCGCAGCAGGCCGCCGCCCCGCAAGUUCAAGUUGGUCCCGGAGGCCAUCUCCACCGGGGACGGGGACGGUGACGGCGGCACCGUCUUCCGCGUCGGCCCCAUCAUCGGCACCGGCUCCUUCGGGGAGAUCUACCACGGCACGGACGCCGAGACCAAGGAGGAGGUCGCCAUCAAGCUCGUGAGCCAGCCCCCUCCCUUCAUCCUCUUCCUUGUCUUGUUCAUUAAUUUGACACGCCUCCCUCAAUGCACUCGAGUCUCUCAGGGCGAGGUUCCCCCAGCUGAUCUACGAGGCCAAGGUCUACAGGAAACUCCAAGGACAAGCCGGGAUUCCAAAUGUCCGGUGGUUCGGCGUCGAGGGCGACUACAGCGCCCUGGUGAUGGACCUGUUGGGGCCAAGCUCUCCCUCAAGACCGUCCUCAUGCUUGCCGACCAAAUGAUUGACCGGAUCGAGUGCCUCCACACCAACUCUUUCAUGCACAAGGACAUCAAGCCGCAGAACUUCCUCAUGGGCCGUGGCAAGAGCGCCAAUCUGGUUCAUCUUAUAGAUUUCGGAAUCGCGAGGAAGUACAUGGAGACGUCCAAGUACGGCAAGAAGCACAUCCCAUACAGGGAGAACAUGAUGGGCCUGCAAGGAACGCCGAGAUACGCUAGCAUAAACAACCAUCUCGGAAUCGAGCAAAGCCGGAGGGAUGACCUAGAAUCCGUCGGCUACAUGCUGCUCUACUUCCUCCGAGGAAGCCUCCCGUGGCAGGACGCGGACGCCGGGAACCACAGGGAGACGCACGACAUGAUCAAGGACAUGAAGAUCGCUACCUCACCCGAGGAGCUCUGCCGCCGACAUCCAGCCGAGUUCGCGUCCUACCUCAUCUACUGCCGCUCGCUGGGGUUCGAGGACGAGCCUGACUAUGCGUACCUCAGGAAGCUGUUCAAAGACCUCUUUGUUCAACAAGGCUUCGAGUAUGACUACGUUUAUGACUGGAUGGUUCCCCGGCAUUAUUACAAAGACGACUACCGGUACUGA